AUGGCCGGCGGCGCUAUUCAGGUAGGAGAUAGCCACAAAUGCUAUAACCAGGGGGUGUUGAUUUUUUGCUUGGAUUGCCCCGCUGUGCUGCAUGCAUCAACGGCGGCCAGCAGCUACCCAUGCUGCAACCAGCAGGUCCUAGCGACGAAGAUGACGCCCUCUCGGUGCUUCAAUCGAAAAUUUGCUGGAACCAGCUCUCUGUUUUGCUGGAAACGGCAUCGCAGGGUGCUGGGACGGGCUCUCUGUUUUGCUACAAUCAAUCGCUGGGAGUUCUUCCUCAUGAGUCGUUUUGCUGGAACCGGGUAA
rnacentral:rRNA from 1 species